rnacentral:rRNA from 1 species
GUUUGAUCAUGGCUCAGGAUGAACGCUGGCGGAGUGCCUAACACAUGCAAGUCGAGCGAGGACUUCGGUCCUAGCGGCGGACGGGUGAGUAACGCGUGGGUAAUCUGCCUCAUACACACGGAUAACGUACCGAAAGGUACGCUAAUACGAGAUAAAGUUAAGAAAUGGCAUCAUUUCUUAAUCAAAGAAUUUCGGUAUGAGAUGAGCCCGCGUCCCAUUAGCUAGUUGGUAAGGUAAAAGCUUACCAAGGCGACGAUGGGUAGCCGACCUGAGAGGGUGAUCGGCCACACUGGAACUGAGACACGGUCCGGACUCCUACGGGAGGCAGCAGUGGGGAAUAUUGCACAAUGGGCGAAAGCCUGAUGCAGCAACGCCGCGUGAGCGAUGAAGGUCUUCGGAUCGUAAAGCUCUGUCCUCAAGGAAGAAUUUUGACGGUACUUGAGGAGGAAGCUCCGGCUAACUACGUGCCAGCAGCCGCGGUAAUACGUAGGGGGCUAGCGUUAUCCGGAAUUACUGGGCGUAAAGGGUGCGUAGGUGGUUUUUUAAGUCAGAAGUGAAAGGCUACGGCUCAACCGUAGUAAGCUUUUGAAACUGAGAAACUUGAGUGCAGGAGAGGAGAGUAGAAUUCCUAGUGUAGCGGUGAAAUGCGUAGAUAUUAGGAGGAAUACCAGUUGCGAAGGCGGCUCUCUGGACUGUAACUGACACUGAGGCACGAAAGCGUGGGGAGCAAACAGGAUUAGAUACCCUGGUAGUCCACGCCGUAAACGAUGAGUACUAGGUGUCGGGGGUUACCCCCCUCGGUGCCGCAGCUAACGCAUUAAGUACUCCGCCUGGGAAGUACGCUCGCAAGAGUGAAACUCAAAUGAAUUGACGG